GACGAACGCUGGCGGCGUGCCUAAUACAUGCAAGUCGAGCGCAGGAAACUGACGGAACUCUUCGGAGGGAAGGCAGUGGAAUGAGCGGCGGACGGGUGAGUAACACGUAAGGAACCUGCCUCAAGGAUUGGGAUAACUCCGAGAAAUCGGAGCUAAUACCGGAUAGUUCAACGGACCGCAUGGUCCGCUGAUGAAAGGCGCUCCGGCGUCACCUUGAGAUGGCCUUGCGGUGCAUUAGCUAGUUGGUGGGGUAACGGCCCACCAAGGCGACGAGUCAGAGCCGACCUGAGAGGGUGAUCGGCCACACUGGGACUGAGCCACGGCCCGGACUCCGACGGGAGGCAGCAGUAGGGAAUCUUCCACAAUGGACGAAAGUCUGAUGGAGCAACGCCGCGUGAGUGAUGAAGGUUUUCGGAUCGUAAAACUCUGUUGUAAGGGAAGAACACGUACGAGAGGAAAUGCUCGUACCUUGACGGUACCUUGCGAGAAAGCCACGGCUAACUACGUGCCAGCAGCCGCCGUAA
rnacentral:rRNA from 1 species